GUUUGGAUAAGGCAGUAGAUGAGGUUAAGGGUUCCUGUGGUGGUUUAUUUGGUGAGACUGGGCAUGAUUCAGAAAAGUUGGAAGAUCUAGAGAGGGAUCUUGCAAUCUGAAGUUUCUUGUUUAGUCACUGGAGGAUCUGAACGUCUAUGACACUCUUUCGAGCUGACACAGUGAAGAACAUGGAAGGAGAACUCACCCAGUCUGCCAGGGUCACAGAUGAUCAUACUCAAGAUCUUCCUGGGGAGUCAAUGGCAAAUUUCACUGGGCUAUUUUACAGAUGAAGAAGGAACAUAAAGAAGGUUCUGGGACCCU
rnacentral:sRNA from 1 species